GUUGAGCUAUUUUCAAAUGGAAAAUUGGGUGUAGAGAUCUAUUUCGAUAGCCACCUUUCCACAAGUUCCAAUUGGUUUUCUAUGGAACGGCUGUGUUACAGUUCUUUCAACGACCUGACACACAUGUCUAUCUCCAACAUUUUCUCUAUGGAUGGCGACCAAACCGUUGAUCGCCAUUUCUACAUCAGCAGUAGUUAUGGCGGCUGUCCAGAAGACACUAUUUGGAUGAUAGUGGUUGGUACGACGGAUGCUAACUAUCGCCCCUGUUUCUACGAUAACCUGUCCGAAAGGGAAUACCCAUACAUAUUAUUAUGGUCCUGGUCAGCACAAGGCUAAAUUGAGCGACGGAACCUUUGCAGUAGCUGAUAAGAUGCUGAUAUCAAUAUCGGCAAUUGUAUAACAUGAAAGGGAAAUAACAAUGACUAAAUGCUAAUAUCAAUAUCGAUAUUUGGAUAACAUAAAAGGGAAAUAACAAUGACUAAAUGCUGACAUAAAUAUCGACAGUUGUAUAACAUAAAAGGGAAAUAAUAAUGACUAAAUGCUAAUAUCAAUAUCGACAAAUCGUAUAAAUAUAAAUAAGGAAGUAGUAUCAUAGAGAUUGGCUUCUUAAAUGUAUUAUGUGUAUACGUAUAUAAGAUAAAAAAAAAUGGAACUUUGCAUUUGAGCGUACAACAUACAAAGCAGAUUUGGCUAUUUCAAAAUUGAGUGCCAGAAAAGAAGGAAUCUCAUAUCAAAGUAUUUUAACAUGCGCUUCCUACUUUUUGAAGAUCAUACUGCAUAGAAGUAUAUGUGUAUUGUUAAUUUAAAACUGUAAUGCUUGUCUUUGGAAAGCUUUCCCAUGAGGAUGUCCUAAACAGAAAAUAUGUUAUUUAAAAGAAGAUAUUUUGCCAAUAGUUUUAAUGGUAUAGUUGACAUUCCGUAUAUUCAACUGCAUAUCAUUUUAAAAACCACAUAUUCACCACUUGAUGUAUAUUUUAGGGUUCUCUGUGAAGUGUUCGAUUUUUAUGACCUUUAUUUCCUUGUGGUCAUCAGAAACAAAAAAAGCACGAAUAACCGAGAGCAUGCAGCAUCUGCCUACAUAAGUUUUCCUAUUUAAAAAUCAUGCCCCAAAAUAACUAAAACAAGUACAUCUAAACAUAUGAAAUACACAAUACGACAUAACACAAUGCA